GAUGAAGAACCGUAGCGAAAUGCGAUACGUAAUGUGAAUUGCAGAAUUCAGUGAAUCAUCGAGUCUUUGAACGCACAUUGCGCCCCCUGGUAUUCCGGGGGGCAUGCCUGUCCGAGCGUCAUUGCUGCCCUCAAGCACGGCUUGUGUGUUGGGCCUCCGUCCUCCUCCCGGGGGACGGGCCCGAAAGGCAGCGGCGGCACCGCGUCCGGUCCUCGAGCGUAUGGGGCUUCGUCACCCGCUCUUGUAGGCCCGGCCGGCGCUUGCCGACACAUCAAUCUUUUUUCCAGGUUGACCUCGGAUCAGGUAGGGAUACCCGCUGAACUUAAGCAUAUCAAUAAGCGGAGA
rnacentral:misc_RNA from 1 species